CCAAUCAUCCUUAAAGAUUCUAAAUAUCAAAUAUUUCUUUGAAGAUUUAGAUUAAUUAAAGCUAAGGGAUACUUCUUAUUCAUAACUUUACGAUUUUUUCUCUAUUCUUAUUUUUAGAUUUUUGAUAUAGGGUUUUAAUCUGAUUUUCGACUUUGAAGACGUGUUUCAUUUUUUGCCAGAAGGAUUUACGCUCGAAAAACCUCUAUCACAACCACUCGAUCAAAAAACAGGGAAGAAUAAUCCAAGCCACUGCAAAUGGAACCUCCUGAUUGGUCAGUUUGAUGUGUUGCUGUAGGAAGGAAAUGGUUGGCGUUGUCAUGUUAUAGUCUUUCAUAUAAUCUGGGCGAUAUAUUUUGCAGUGUAUUCGAAUACCAACCAUGAAAGCAAGUUGAUUAUCCAAUCAUGCAACCAGUAGGUUCAUCAAGACAUGGUGCUUUGUUUAAUGGAUCAGAAAAAAGAGGCCGGGGACUGAGAUUUCUUAAUUAAACAUGGACAAUGAGACACUACCCAGUUAUCUUAAUUGGAGUGUCGUAAAGUUUGCUGUGCUUAUGAGGAGUUGAAGAUAGCUUGGGAAAUGAAACAUUGGGCAGAUGUUUUGUGUGGUUUUAUCUGUUUUAAGGUUUUGCAGGUUUGGAAGUAUAAGGACUGUUGCAAAGGAAGCGUAUUUUGUGAUGAACUUGAUGAAAAGAUAAAUUUUGGCAAAGCGAUGGAAGAAGAGUCAAAGACUUCAUGGGGCAUGGGUCUUGCCAUUAGUGAGUCGGCGGCUUCGUUUAUUAAGAAAAAAUGUUCCGGUCAAAAUAUCAAAUUCUUCCGCCAUCUGCUUCGAAUUGCAAAUUUUGUGCUAUGAAAAGGAAUGACCAUACUCGUGCGAUUGAAAUGAUCCAAAAGGAAUGACCAUACAUGUGAAAAGUAAGUAAACUGCAAGUCAGCUAACUAGUAACUAACAUACAUAAAACUGAACUAACCGACUUGUAACUAAUUUUGUCGAAUAUAGGCUACAUUAUGUUACAAUUCUUCACUCAAAGUAACAAAAGUUGUUAAAAACUGGAACAUGCCCAUUCAUACGUGCGUCUCAGUGUCUGGGCUCACUCCGGCUUUACAUCAUGAGUCUCACCCUGCCUUUGGGGCGUUUCACCUUCUCUCCCACACGUGUAGUAUGUCAUCAAAGGCGGCUUAAAAACGUGAAGGGGGUGACCAGGUGACAAGUCCCAUGUUUUGGGUUUAGGCUGUUUCAUAAAUUUCGUUCUGUUACUUUUGAAAAGUUAAGACAAUUUCUUAUAACCCGUGUAUUUGGCCCAACAGUUUUUAGUAUCAACGGGCUACACCAGUGAACCAUUUCUUUUCUUUCGUUGAGAAGGCACUCAGUGUGAAGGAAUAUUGCUGGAAGUCAUCAGUUUAUUUUAUAGAUUGUAUAUAAGAAAACAAGGGAUCAAUUUAUAGUUGGCUAGAUUCUGGUUAAAGAGUAGUUCUAGGCAAUGUAUGGCACUGGCAACUCUAAACAUAAGAUCUUAAAGCAGAACUUGUCAACAAGACUGGGCUCAUUAACCAAACAAUCCAAAACUAUUC